rnacentral:rRNA from 1 species
GAGUUUGAUCCUGGCUCAGGAUGAACGCUAGCGGCAGGCCUAACACAUGCAAGUCGAGGGGCAGCAUAGAUUGCUUGCAAUCUGAUGGCGACCGGCGCACGGGUGCGUAACGCGUAUGAAACCUACCUAAUACAGGGGGAUAGCCCAGAGAAAUUUGGAUUAAUACCCCAUGGUACUGUGGUCUCGCAUGAGAUUAUAGUUAAAGAUUUAUCGGUAUUAGAUGGUCAUGCGUCCUAUUAGUUAGUUGGUAAGGUAACGGCUUACCAAGACUUCGAUAGGUAGGGGCCCUGAGAGGGGGAUCCCCCACACUGGUACUGAGACACGGACCAGACUCCUACGGGAGGCAGCAGUGAGGAAUAUUGGACAAUGGAGGCAACUCUGGUCCAGCCAUGCCGCGUGAAGGAAGACUGCCCUAUGGGUUGUAAACUUCUUUUAUAGAGGAAGAAACGUGAAUACGUGUAUUCAUUUGACGGUACUCUACGAAUAAGGAUCGGCUAACUCCGUGCCAGCAGCCGCGGUAAUACGGAGGAUCCAAGCGUUAUCCGGAAUCAUUGGGUUUAAAGGGUCCGCAGGCUGUUGUUUAAGUCAGAGGUGAAAGUUUGCAGCUCAACUGUAAAAUUGCCUUUGAUACUGGAUAACUUGAGUAACAAUGAAGUGGUUAGAAUAUGUAGUGUAGCGGUGAAAUGCAUAGAUAUUACAUAGAAUACCGAUUGCGAAGGCAGAUCACUAAUUAUAUACUGACGCUGAGGGACGAAAGCGUGGGGAGCGAACAGGAUUAGAUACCCUGGUAGUCCACGCCGUAAACGAUGGUUACUAGCUGUUUGGUCGUAAGACUGAGUGGCCAAGCGAAAGUGAUAAG